CGUGUUUUCCGAGAUUUUGACCACUCCCAAGCGAUCAAGACUAUGACCACCACUUUGACCAAUGGAUAUCUGAAUUGUAACAAUGAAUUAUUAUCAGAGAAAUCAUUGGCAUGGCACCUGGGAAAAGUUUUAUUCAAGAUCCACAACAAAAAUUUGUAGGGAUUCUUCCACCUAUACCUUCCAAAAUCAUCUGUGGUGAAGAUAGUACAAUGAAGCAAGAGGCAAAACUGUCAUUGACUUUCAUAGAGUACCCUGGUUUUUAUAUUUCAGACAAAAUAAAGAUUUUUUUUCCAGA